rnacentral:rRNA from 1 species
CAGCAUGAAGGAUGCUUGCAUCUUUUGAUGGCGACCGGCGCACGGGUGAGUAACGCGUAUCCAACCUGCCUGUUACCACGGCACAGCCCGUCGAAAGGCGGAUUAAUGCCGUAUGUGGUCCUUUGCGGGCAUCUAAUUAGGACUAAAGGUUUGGCAGUAACAGAUGGGGAUGCGUCCGAUUAGCUAGACGGCGGGGUAACGGCCCACCUAGUCUUCGAUGGAUAGGGGUUCUGAGAGGAAGGUCCCCACAUUGGAACUGAGACACGGUCCAAACUCC